CGUUGGUGAACCAGCGGAGGGAUCAUUG
rnacentral:rRNA from 3 species